rnacentral:lncRNA from 1 species
CGGGGACAGCACCAGUAUAAAUUACACACAGACCCACUGAUCUGUCCUUUCCAGAGCCUUCUGCUGCCAGAUCAACAAGAUUUUAUGGCAUUUCCUCUGUGGGAGAUGCCGUGGAAACUUGACUGGUCUUGUAACACUUAAUGUCAUCAUGAAGGAGGCAGAGUUUAUGUAAAUCCUUGCUGCCAGGGGUGAGGUCAUCUGGCCCAGUGCCAUUCAGAGGGGAAACCCAUUUGUUGGUGCUGGUGUCCAGAUGUGCAGUCUGCGAAGCCUAACACCAUGUAACGCCUGACAACCUGCACGUA